rnacentral:rRNA from 1 species
GUGGGGAAUAUUGGGCAAUGGGGGAAACCCUGACCCAGCAACGCCGCGUGAAGGAAGAAGGCUUUCGGGUUGUAAACUUCUUUUAUGAGGGAAGAUAAUGACGGUACCUCAUGAAUAAGCCACGGCUAACUACGUGCCAGCAGCCGCGGUAAUACGUAGGUGGCAAGCGUUGUCCGGAUUUACUGGGUGUAAAGGGCGUGUAGGCGGGACUGCAAGUCAGAUGUGAAAUUUCGGGGCUCAACCCCGAAACUGCAUUUGAAACUGUGGUUCUUGAGUAUCGGAGAGGCAGGCGGAAUUCCUAGUGUAGCGGUGAAAUGCGUAGAUAUUAGGAGGAACACCAGUGGCGAAGGCGGCCUGCUGGACGACAACUGACGCUGAGGCGCGAAAGCGUGGGGAGCAAACAGGAUUAGAAACCCCAGUAGUCC